CCUGGGAUAAAUUUUCAUGAUAACGUGGCUCUGACAGGCCAGCUCACGUUUGCUCUAGUGUUCGUUUGGCACGAGUCGUCAAUAUUUCAUGUUUUUCUUUUUCUUCCUCUUUUUUUAAAGCGUGUAAAGGGCCGUCUUGAUUUCCAGGUCUUGUGUUAGUUUCUUGACCUCUUUCUGGAGCUUUGUCCUAGCCCCUCUGCCGGUGUGUGUCCUGACACGCAGGUGGCAGUCCGGGAGGCUGCCGGCUCUCCCUCCCGCCUGCUUGGACUCUCCCCUGGGUCUCCUACCACAGCCUCUGACUCGUGUGUGUGUGUGUGUGUGUGUGUGUGUGUGUGUGUGUGUGUGCGUGAUUUCCCAGCAGAAUGGAAAACACCCUGGGACAGCAGUUUCGUCUCAUUUGCUGCCCUGCUCCCACACCUACCGAAGUGCUAAGCAUGCAGCACGCCCUAGCGGGGCUGCUGCAUCAAUGACUGGCCGUCCUGCCCAAGAGCAGGUUUUAAACCCCCACGUCGUGAGCCCAUCCGAGGAGCAGAAGCUGAGCCACCAUUGGUUAAUGUGGUCACCUGAGCUCCUACUCGUGGGCGUCCUUCCCCUGCGUGGGAAUGCCAUGAGCCGGCAGGGCAGCCGGUGGCUCUUGACCUGGGCUGGCCGGAAGCACCUUGAGGGCACCCGCGAGCACCAUUGCCCGGUGUCCGGCCCUGUGAACCACAGCCCUGGGGCUACAAUUUGGGCACCUGGGUGAACAUCCUGAGUGGUGUUGUAGGGUUUCGUCCCAAAACGUGGACUCCCGGACGGCAGCUGCCUGAAGGACUCCAUGCCAUCAGUUUCCGUGGUGUUGCAGGCAGGUUGCUUAUUUGCCCUAAUGAGGUUUUGAUUACUCUCCAUUUGUCUCUUUCACCAGCUUUAUAUUAAAAAGACUUUUUAUUUGGA